rnacentral:rRNA from 1 species
CAGCAGCCGCGGUAAUUCCAGCUCCAAUAGCGUAUAUUAAAGUUGUUGCGGUCAAAAAGCUCGUAGUUGGAUCUCGGCAGGUUGGGGGCGGUUCAUUAUUUAAUGUUUACUGCUCCAUUAACUUGCGUUUUUUGACAGAGGUUCUGGGGUGCUCUUGAUUGAGUGUCCCAGGAUGCUGUCAGGUUUACUUUGAAAAAAUUAGAGUGCUCAAAGCAGGCUUUACACGCUUGAAUAUUGGUGCAUGGAAUAAUAGAAUAGGAUGUUGUGUCCUUUUUGUUGGUUGUAGGAUAUUAACAUAAUGAUUAAUAGGGACAGUCGGGGGCAUUAGUAUUCAGACGACAGAGGUGAAAUUCUUGGACCGUUUGAAGACUAACUACUGCGAAAGCAUUUGCCAAGAAUGUUUUCAUUAAUCAAGAACGAAAGUUAGAGGUUCGAAGGCGAUCAGAUACCGCCCUAGUUCUAACCAUAAACGAUGCCAGCUAGCGAUCCGCUUGCGUUUCUUAUAAGGCCCUGCGGGAAGCUUCCGGGAAACCAAAGCUUUUGGGUUCCGGGGGAAGUAUGGUUGCAAAGCUGAAACUUAAAGGAAUUGACGGAAGGGCACCACCAGGAGUGGAGCCUGCGGCUUAAUUUGACUCAACACGGG